AUGAUUAUUUAUCCAUAGAGUCAGUCAGUCAACGUUUAUACCUUGACCAAAGCAGUCGGGGAUUCUUAACUUUAUCUAGAGAAAGAAAUCGAAUCAAAAAAACGAAAAAUUUAGCAAUAAAAGUUGUUGCUUAUGACGAUCGUUAAAAUUGCGUGUGUUAAAAUCAUUUAAAACCUAUAAAAAAGUGAAAAGUUUUGUGCCGAGGUUGUAAGGCAAGAGGAAGAAAAGGACAUUACUUUUAAGCCAGAGCGGAUCAGAAAAUAAAAAAAACAAAUCUGGAAUUUUAACUUGUCAUGAUAAAAUGUUACCAUAGAUUUUUAUUAGAGAUUUUCUUAAGUAGGCAGUAGAUGAAGGUUUGGGCGAUUUAAAGUGGCGCAAAAAUAUAAAUCUAUCUAUACACAAGCAUACAACAAACUCGUCUUCCUACACACUUUUUUUCUCAAUUCAUAGCAAAACUUUUUAACAUUUUUGCUCAACUAAAUCUUAAACAAGACCAAGCCAAUAACCAACCAACCAGCCAUAUGAGUUAAAGAAAAGAUUUGCAAAAGAAAUAAACUACAACUGACUGAGAUUGAUAAAAAUUAAAAAAAAAAGCAGUAGAGGUUGGUAGAUGCUGCAUAGAUGGAUAUUAUAGCUGGAGUUGUUGAUCAUGAAUGUCUGAUCGCGUUUUCUAUAUCGGCGUCAAAAUCCACAUAAACAGCAGCUGGUAAGCAACAGCAAUAAGAAAAAAAAAACAAC